GACGAACGCUGGCGGCGUGCUUAACACAUGCAAGUCGAACGAUGAACCCGGAGCUUGCUCCGGUGGAUUAGUGGCGAACGGGUGAGUAACACGUGAGUAACCUGCCCUUGACUCUGGGAUAACUGCGGGAAACUGUAGCUAAUACCGGAUACAACCCUCGGCGGCAUCGCCAGGGGGUGGAAAGAAGUUCGGUCAAGGCUGGACUGUCGGCCUAUCAGGUAGUUGGGUAGGUAACGGCUCACCAAAGCGACGACGGGUAACCGGUCUGAGCGGGUGAACGGCUCGACUGGGACCGAGACGCGGACCAGACGCCUACGGGGGGCAGCAGUGGGGAAUAGUGCACAAUGGGCGAAAGCCUGAUGCAGCAACGCGGCGGGAGGGAUGACGGCCUUCGGGUUGUAAACCUCUUUUAGUAGGGAAGAAGCGAAAGUGACGGUACCUGCAGAAAAAGCACCGGCUAACUACGUGCCAGCAGCCGCCGUAA
rnacentral:rRNA from 1 species